rnacentral:rRNA from 1 species
CUACGGGCGGCUCCAGUGGGGAAUUUUGGACAAUGGGCGCAAGCCUGAUCCAGCCAUUCCGCGUGAGUGAAGAAGGCCUUCGGGUUGUAAAGCUCUUUCGCAAGGGAAGAAAACCUAUCCUCUAACAUAGGGUGAGGUUGACGGUACCUUGAUAAGAAGCACCGGCUAACUACGUGCCAGCAGCCGCGGUAAUACGUAGGGUGCGAGCGUUAAUCGGAAUUACUGGGCGUAAAGCGUGCGCAGGCUGUUUUGUAAGUCAGAUGUGAAAUCCCCGAGCUCAACUUGGGAACUGCGUUUGAAACUACAAGACUAGAAUAUGUCAGAGGGGGGUAGAAUUCCAUGUGUAGCAGUGAAAUGCGUAGAGAUGUGGAGGAAUACCAAUGGCGAAGGCAGCCCCCUGGGAUAAUAUUGACGCUCAUGCACGAAAGCGUGGGGAGCAAACAGGAUUAGAUACCCCCGUAGUC